rnacentral:rRNA from 1 species
GCAAGUCGAGGGGUAACAGGGAAGCUUGCUUUCGCUGACGACCGGCGCACGGGUGCGUAACGCGUAUACAAUCUACCUUAUACUGGAGAAUAGCCCGAAGAAAUUCGGAUUAAUGCUCCAUAAUACUAUCUUUUCACCUGAUUAGAUAUUUAAAGCUCCGGCGGUAUAAGAUGAGUAUGCGUGAUAUUAGCUAGUUGGUAAGGUAACGGCUUACCAAGGCAACGAUAUCUAGGGGGUCUGAGAGGACUAUC